rnacentral:lncRNA from 1 species
UUUAUGGUGGAGAAUCUCUCAAUAACAGCUUAGGAAGCUUCCUAGAAGCUGCAUAGCAUAUUAACUUGAGCCACAAAUCAAAAUUUUGGGGAUCUUUUAAGAAAAAGUAGAAAUUAAAAGUGACCAAAAGGGUAAAAUGAAGUCUGAAGUUUGUCCUAAUUGUUUGCAUAUAAAGGCAUGCCAUCCCUGUCUUGCAAGGAAGAUUUGGAGAGGAGGAAAAUCAGAGAGGAAAACUCCAAGGGCUACAUUUUUUUACUGUUACAUUAAAUUCCUUCUUUGUUUCUUUUAAGAUUAAAAAAAUAAAAAUAAUUCCUGGUACUUAAAAGUUAAAAGAUGGAUUGAGCUGGGGUUUUUAUUUUAAAAGAGGUCGAGCUUUGAAGAAUGCUAAAGCUACUUCUCGAUUGAGUUUGGUUUUAAAGUGUUUCAAGUCAUUUUUUUCUCUGCUUAUUCCUAGUUGCUGAGCUACUAUUGUGGUGCUGCUUGAUAAUGACUUUCCUUUGCUUUCCUACAUUUCAUAUUCCAAGCACAUGUUGCUAAAUCCAUCUCACGUGAAGUUUUGGUAUUGAAAUGAAGUGAAAUCCGGAGUUCCAAACAUGGCUUCUGCAUAUUCAAAUCAAUUAGUUUAGUUUCAGUUGUUUCUUUUAGUUAAUUGAUGUAUUGUAUACUCAACAUGAACCUGUCACUGUUAAAGUUGGUAUGGCCUUUGCAGUAAUUUCAUUUUCUGUUGAUUCUUAUUAUUGUAACUGGUUUUGGACUGUUUGAGUCAAGAGACUUGAAAAAUGCUGACCAUCAGCUGAGUGUUGUGAU